rnacentral:rRNA from 1 species
GCCAGACUCCUACGGGAGGCAGCAGUGGGGAAUAUUGCACAAUGGGGGAAACCCUGAUGCAGCGACGCCGCGUGAAGGAAGAAGUAUUUCGGUAUGUAAACUUCUAUCAGCAGGGAAGAAAAUGACGGUACCUGACUAAGAAGCCCCGGCUAACUACGUGCCAGCAGCCGCGGUAAUACGUAGGGGGCAAGCGUUAUCCGGAUUCACUGGGCGUAAAGGGAGCGCAGGCGGCACGGCAAGUCUGGUGUGAAAGCCCGGGGCCCAACCCCGGGACUGCAUUGGAAACUGCCGGGCUGGAGUGCCGGAGGGGCAGGCGGAAUUCCUAGUGUAGCGGUGAAAUGCGUAGAUAUUAGGAGGAACACCAGUGGCGAAGGCGGCUUGCUGGACAAUGACUGACGUUGAGGCUCGAAAGCGCGGGGAGCAAACAGGAUUAGAUACCCCAGUAGA